rnacentral:rRNA from 1 species
AUACGUAGGGUGUGAGCGUUGUCCGGAAUUACUGGGCGUAAAGAGCUCGUAGGUGGUUUGUCGCGUCGUCUGUGAAAUUCCGGGGCUUAACUCCGGGCGUGCAGGCGAUACGGGCAUAACUUGAGUACUGUAGGGGAGACUGGAAUUCCUGGUGUAGCGGUGAAAUGCGCAGAUAUCAGGAGGAACACCGGUGGCGAAGGCGGGUCUCUGGGCAGUAACUGACGCUGAGGAGCGAAAGCAUGGGUAGCGAACAGGAUUAGAUCCCCUGGUAGUCCAUGCCGUAAACGGUGGGCGCUAGGUGUAGGGGUCUUCCACGACUUCUGUGCCGUAGCUAACGCAUUAAGCGCCCCGCCUGGGGAGUACGGCCGCAAGGCUAAAACUCAAAUGAAUUGACGGGG